UUACGGUCAAAUCACGCUGAAACACCGGUUCUCGUACGAUCACCGAAGUUAAGCAGCGUAGAGCCAGGUCAGUAAUUAGAUGGGAGACCGCUUGGGAACACCUGGUACUGUAAG
rnacentral:rRNA from 1 species